AUGCCCGCUCAGCGUCGUAGAAAUUGAGGUUGUAGCGGCCGAGGCGGGGGAAGUACGGGAAGACGACACCUAACGAAGAGGGUGAUUUCUGUGAUGACCAGAGAGGCGUCCAUGGGGGAGGAACCUUGUAGGUGGACACGUCCAUGGAAACUGCCAUAACUCCUUUUGUGAUAAUCCAUGGCAACAAAAACAUCCACCUGGAGCAAGAUGAAGAGUGAGACCACAAACCGCAGACAGUUGGUGCAGGUGGUGACGGUCGUGAUGAGCUGCUGCAAACUGAGCCAGAAUCCACUGCAGAAAAUGGACCAACAACAGCCACAGAGACAGACUGAGCUGAACUGCAGUGAAUGAAAGAAGAGAGAAGGAUAUACGAUGCUUCAGGAGCUGACAGUCUCAACCCUUCACCCUCCGCUCUCCCCGGCCCAUCCUUCCCCCCCUGUGAGAAGGUCAAAGAUCAUCAUCAUCAAAACUCAACUGCACCGUGAUCAAAACAGCGAUGGUGAGACUCCUGGCUUCCUUCAUGGCGGAGGUAUACGAGGGGAGUAGACACAGACAUGAGGGGGGAAUGCCUCGAGACAUGCUGUGGAUCGUGGACUAUGCCUGGCAGUUGGGGGCUGGUCAUCGAAGCUGUUUUCCACCUCUGGCUCUGGGUGAAUAAAGGAAUAUAGUUUGAUGCUGAACUUCUUCCAGACUGAAACCAGCAGGACUGUGUUGUUUUUGGGCGUCUCAGUGAUUCAGCCAUGUUCCUCCGAUGGAUCCAUAGAUCAUCAGAGUCAGCCAAGCCCGCCGCUCUUCUUCCCUCCCUCUGCUCGGAGCUGACAGGAGUGGACAGCUGAGGGUAAUCCUCCGCCAAGCAGAUGCUCAGCGCGCUGAUAUCUAGGACAUGCUCGCAGGUUUGAUCUCUCUCUCUCUCCCUCUCUGUAAUGUGUAGAGCCGACGGUCUUUGGAGCAGUAAUCCUGGGCUCUUACACCAAGGCCCUCAGAGGCCCCGAGUGUCAGCAACACAUUUUUCUCUCCCGCACACACACACACACACACACGCUCUGAAACACACACGCAUUCAAACACACACUCACACAGGCAGCAUCACUGACACCUCAGAGCUAAAUAUACCGGGAGUGGCAACGACAGGUGAUCGGGCUCCUCCACAGACGUGCACUCGGCCGGCUCGGACACAGGAGGUCACAGGGUGUGAGUGUGUGAUUGUGAGUGGAAAAGAGAUGAGUGUGUGUGUGUGUGUGUGUGU